CGGCUGUAGCAGAGGCUGUCAGGAGAAGGCUGAAAGCCCUGGCCCCGGGAGCCUGUGCCCCCCCACCCCAGGGAUGGCAGCUCCAGCCCUCCUGGGAUGCUUUUCUGAAGGUGUUUAAUCCCUGAAGGCUGGUGCUGUGCACUCGCUGUGUGCUCAGAUGCUCCCCAUCAGCCUGAGUGCAGGGGUGUAUUUGAAUUUGUCGUCGUAAACCUGGUUUUGGUGUACCCUGUCAUCAGCUGGUGAGCGGGGGGAUGCCGUGGAGUCCUGCCUUCCCCGUCUGCUGAGUGAUUUGUUACCCGUGCCAAACCUUCCAUCGAGAUGGGCAGAGCUGCUGGAGGAUCCCACCCUGCCCUUUUGCCCUUUAUUUGCUUGCUUUGCGCUGAGUUCAGCUGCGCUGAGUAAGAGCUUCGGCGGCUUUGAUUGACUCCCGGAUCAAUUAAAGCAGCGUGCAGACAGAUGGAGGGCUCGGAUCCUGAGUUUUACCCCCUUCUCCUUCUUCCUCGGUUCCCUGGGGACCCUUCAGGCUAAUUGCCGUGAUCUCUCACUGCCUUUUCCUGCCGGCCCCGAAGGUCUCUGCCUAAUGUUGUCCUGCGUGGCUGACGCUGCAAAGAACCCAGGCUGGGAGGGAGGCAGAGAAUUGAUUUGCUCCACCAGGCAGCAGCUGCGGUUGCUGCCACUGUUUAAUUCUCAGUUCAAGCCCCGUGGAGAAUGCAAACAGCUCCGCUCCUCGGCCAAUUUACAGCUGCUGACAAGCUGCUAAACAACAUCUCUGUUACGUGCACGUGCGGGUCUGUGGGCUCCUGUCGGGGUGACAGCAUGAUGCACAGACAGGGCCUUGCACUGCCUUCAGUGGGUUUUUGGAAGCAGCCUGAUGGAUGAAAGCCGCCUGGAGCUGAAGCUGGGACCUUCGGCGUGGGCUGCCUUGGGGCGGAGGUGAUGGAUGAGGGCGCUGACGGCUGCGUGCGUGGAGCUGGUGCUGCAUCCCCAGCACAGGGCUGCGGGCACGGUCUGCCUGCACGGCACGAACCUGCAGAAUCGGAGGCAAGCAAAGCUGAAUAAAGCCUGAAGGAUUCAUUUUUUCUCUGAUUUGGGGUCGCAAGGACUGUCCCAGAUAGAUGCUCGGCAGGAGGAUGCCUCCACACAGUGACCCAGGCGGUGAGGAUGGAUGGAUGCAUUGAACCAGCCUUGGGGCUGAAUCCCCUGCACGUUGGGCUUUAGGAUCAUCACUUUUCCCCUCCAACCCUCUUGGUCUGAGCCUGGCACCUUCCUCGAUCUGCUCCCAGUGCUAAAUCCCCGCUGGUCCCCACUGAUGCUGUUUAUCAGGGUGUGCUAACCUGAGCUGGGACCGACAGCCCCAUAGUGCAGGGGGCCUGCCUGCGUCUGAGUAAAUUACCCCGUUAAUAAUGACAAAUCAAUUCAGGGCUGCUUGCAAGGAGAAUGCUCUGGUCUACCUUCUUCAGAAAGCAACAAACCUGUACACUCUUGCUGCCAAAAAUUAGCUGCAGCCAAAAUAAUAAGGAAUAAUCCAACCAUACAGACAUCAAGUUAAUGAAUUAUCCCCUUUCAAUUGGAGGUACUCAAAGGCAGCGCAGAAAUAUACCCAGAAACCUUGUUGGUUUUAUUAAGAUAUUUUAGCUUUUUUUUUUUUUUCCUUUCUAAGUGAGGAAAAAAAUAGCUAAGGGUAUUCCUUUAGGAUUAAAGAAGUUAAAUGGGAAUCUGCUGUUCGAAGUAUAGGGAGGGAGGGGAGAAUUUUGGUGGUUUUACUUCAAAAGCUGGAGUUUACCCAGAGAAAGGUGAUUUUGCUGCACUCGUGCAGUGCCCCCAGGGCUGCUGGGGGUCUCCUCUCCCCUCUGCUCUCCCCCAGCACCCUGCACCGUGCUGGUAGCCCCUUAGGAGCACCCCUGCCACGCGGGUGGCUCGUGGGCACCCACUCUUGAGUGGCGUUAUUCGUGUCGACAGGAUUGAUGGGAUGUUUCAUCAAGCAAUUAGGGGGAAAAAAAAAGUCCAACUUGUUCCAAAAUACAAAGGCAGCAGCCGGCAUAAAUUAAUGUGUGUAGUUUUUAAGUGUUUACUACACUGCUGUUUUCUUCCAUCUUCCCACAGGAGAUAAUUAGGAACGAGGCUGCUCCUCCGCUACCGCUAGGUACCGGGAUGCGUUGCCAUAUCCCCUUAACUCCAAAGAACCUCCUCAGAAGUGACAGAUGAUCAAUUUAGCAUAUCGAGAAGAAGAGGUUUCUUUCUUUUCCACUUUAAGUCUAGGCAUUAUUGUUUCCCUGAGUGGACUGAUUCAUAUUUGCUUGGCUUCAUUAGCUGAAAUGUGCUAUAGACCAAAUUAGCAGCGAGCCUUCGGAGAUCAAGAAGGACGGAGCGGUUUGUUCUUAUCAGUAAUUGAUCACGGAACUAUUAAUGGAUGCAAAUGUAUUUGUUCGCUCAGCUUUGAUAAAUAAUGGCUCGCCGCUCCCCUGUGACAUGAUGUGAGCUCACGUUUCCUCUUUGCUGUGCAGUCCCCAGGCCACGGGCAGAAGCAGCUGGCUACGAGGAGAUGGAUCUCCUGGCUCAAUUUUCUCCCGCUCUCCGUUAUUGAUGGGCAAACUUCCCCAGCUGAUUCAUCCUGGUGGUUUGCUCCAACUUUCAGCAAGCUGCUACGGCUUCUGCGGUCAGAAAGCUGCUUCCUGGUGGCGAUGUGGGUAGGUUUUAGCUCUGGUAUCAACCUUCAGGAGCUGCGCCCACGAGCCGAGAGCUGCCGAGCCGUAGGCGCUCCUGCAGCCUGGGUUGCGCAUCCCCGAGGUGUGGGCACCCGGCAGACCCCGGCUCUGUGUUUGGCUCUGGUGCUGAACGCUGAUUUCUCAGUGAAAUCCUUGGCCAAAAGACGUGGUUCUGAGUCCCUAGCUGCUUCUCAGGGGGUUUCUGACCUUCUGACCUCCCCCCCGGGGCAGACACCGAGGACGUUUCAAGGAUCAGCAGCGUGGGCGAUGCUCGGGGCUGGGAGCAAUCCUGCUCAGCAGUCUUGGGCAUGGCUGGAAAGCGAGGUGCUGCUGAACUGCACGAUGUGCAGCCCUGUAACUGCCUUUUAUCAGCUCUUUGAAGCAGCUUGCCCCUCACAAACGCCUGCGCAGCACUCAGCCCACCGGGGCUCCGGUCUCCAGCAGGGCUUCCUGGCACCACUCCGGUGUGCAAAUCACAAGGGGCGAGGAAGAAGUAGUUUGUGAGGACACCUUGCUACCUUUUGCUACAUAUAAAUCUUGAUAAUGUUUUUUUUUUUUUUUCCCCUCUUCAUUAUGGUAAUGGCAUCAUUUUUGUGCAUGGCAAUUCUCAGACACAAAUAGCACUAAAUCACCUUCCUCUUCUACGGUAACUACACUAAUAUUAUUAAUACCCUGCAUUCAUAAAACAAUUUUCAGCAUCUCAACACACUCUGCACACAUUAAUUUAGCCUUACAACCUUCCGCUGGGAGAAUUGCCAGUAUGAGUCACAUUUUAUAGCAGGGUAGAGGGUAGGACUGAAGAGGAGAACCAAGUUCUCUUCAUAUUUACACCAGCGCGGGCGCAGGAUAAGUGCACUCAUGCUGAUGGCAGAUGCACUUGUGAGUGCGCACAGGAUUUGACUCACACUGGGGGGAAGGACUCUCCUCGAGGUCACUCACUGAAUCAUUUGCAGAGCCAUAAAUAGAGCCUAAAGACUUCUCAGCAUCCCCAGCUCCACGCGCAGGGCGAGGGACUGUUUGCUGCCCGGGUGAGAAAUGAGAGCAGGGAGGAUUUUAGGGAGCCAGGGGUUGCAGGACACCAAGGCUGGGGGUGCAUGCACCAGAACUCCCCUGGGGAGCCUUCACGUAACAGAACAUGAAAAUGGAUUCUGUGCCUUCGCUCUUCCCAAACAAUCCUAAACGUAACUGUUUAGGGCAUUAAAAAAUAAGAUAACUCUUUUCUUUCAAAUAAA